rnacentral:sRNA from 1 species
GAAACAAAUGGCAAUCAAAAGCGAUACGAAGCACUUCCUCUCCGUGCUGUGAUGCAAUAAAUCUAGACGUCGUCAAAGGGCUGAAGAAACUACUGCUGAUUAGUUGGAUCUACGCCUACUGACAUCGCAAUCAAAUCCCAUUUCAGAAAAGUACCAACAAAUUUUCCAGCCUACCUUGCUUGAGCCCUCUUCGCAUUGUGGAAGUAAAGGGCCAACCGCUUGGCCUGUCCACUUGUUCCUUUGGAGUCAAGAAAAGAAAAUCGGAGCUUCCCUCCAUUCACGAAUGGAGAGGUUCCUUUGGGAUCUUCACAUCGGGAUCAACAAAACAUGUCGCCGGGGAGGGGGGGGUAGGGGGAGGGAUUUUAGCGAAAAUCCCAGGUCAAAAGAAAAGCAAAGCCAUGCAAGAAAAAAUGGACUUUUGUUGAUUGACAACGUCCUGAAUGAUACCAUCACCACCGGAUUGAGACAGAACUAGAACUACUACUCUGGGAUCUACCGAACGUACCAAGUGAUCCAUUUUUUUGAAGGCCGCCUGGGGUUUCUACGUAAGACAUAUCCGUUUCCAACGUGGGUCAUGAUAUCUGGUACUGUUGGUCCUGACCCUUCCCUCUUAUCUACCCAAACCGUUGAUAAUCUCCUUCUCUAGCUCUGACCACUUUAUGAGGAUACUCUCCUUCCAGCCCAUACCAUCAACCUUUUUCACUUCAUUAAUUCCAUUUACCAAAAUAAACAAGAAACGGGUGGUUUUUGUUGCUCGCCUUUGAUACUCCAAAACCCAUAUCGCA